rnacentral:piRNA from 1 species
UCCUUAGCUGAUGCUGAUGUUGGGGGUGU